GCCUUGGUGGAUCAAUUGGCAGAUCAUCCCUCAUCAAUGUUAGUCCACACUCAGAAUAUACGGGAAGCCGGAGGUUCGAAUCCUCCCUAAGGCA